UACGUAGGGUGCAAGCGUUGUCCGGAAUUAUUGGGCGUAAAGAGCUCGUAGGCGGUCUGUCACGUCGGCUGUGAAAACCCGAGGCUCAACCUCGGGCCUGCAGUCGAUACGGGCAAACUAGAGUACUGCAGGGGAGACUGGAAUUCCUGGUGUAGCGGUGAAAUGCGCAGAUAUCAGGAGGAACACCGGUGGCGAAGGCGGCAUUCUGGACCGACAUUGACGCUGAGGAGCGAAAGCCAGGGGAGCAAACGGG
rnacentral:rRNA from 1 species